UCGAAGGAUAAUUAUGUAAAUUUACUUUUUAAUAAAAUAAUGCCCUGCUUCUUCUACAAUCUUCCACACCGUUCCAUUUUCUCAGUAGGCACCGAUCAGUCGAACACCGUCCAGGAAUGCGUCUCCGAAUUCAUUAGCUUCGUCACCAGCGAGGCCAGCGAUAAGUGCCAGAAGGAGAAGCGAAAGACCAUCAACAGCAACGAUUUGUUGUGGGCGAUGGCCACGUUAGGGUUUGAGGACUAUAUCUGCAUAUAAUUAGUAUAUAGGAUCUUUUUUUUUUUAUCGAAAGUUUUUUUUUCACCUUUUGGUUUAGGCUUCUCUAAGAUAUCGAAGCUAUAUUUAAUGAUUUCAUGUUUUAUUUAAUUGUGUUACAUCUUAAUUUGAUGGUGUUUACAGAAGGAUACAUGUAGAUGUAGCAAUUGUUUUGUAAGAGCCAAAGAAAAUGUACAUCGGCUUGGGUUAGCAGUUGCUAUUUCAUCCCACAGAUGGAGACGCUAUUGAUAUUGAGUAAUCUUCAAAGAAAGUCACCUCUUCAGAGAAGCAAUAUGGCAGCAUUCGUUAAGCACUUUCCAAGGUACGGACUUCACCAAUCCUAGGUUUUAGUUUGUUUCUAAUUUAUUGAGUUUUUAGGGGCAUAUUAUGUAAUUAAAGGGGAAGGAGGGGUCCAAUUUGGUUUCGAAAUCUUGAAUCUGAUCAAAUGAAAGAAUCAAAAUUCAAAGAUAAUAUGCCACCAAUCAUAGGACUCUGACUUCCAACUCUGCUGCUGCACUGAAGGAUCAUACUUUUCUUCAUACAUUGGAAACAUUUUUUGUUUUUUUUGGUUUUUUUUACUGAUAUUAGUAGCUUUUUAGGGUUGAACUAUUUGAUUUCACAGAUUCAUUACAGACACAUUACAUAGUUACAUUUUAAAUUCGUAUUUCAUAACUUGGUUGCUUGAUUCUAAUGUCGAUUCGUUACAACAGAAGUGAACUUUUUCUACUUUAAGCAGGAAUUUUUGCUUUUGUUUUUAUUGUUGUUGCCUUGAUUGUGGUUAUCUGACGGAUUAAUACUCCAUCAUAUAUUGAGCAAUAUCGUGCGGCUCAAAGAAUUUCGUUAUGUGUUUACGCGUAUUUUGUACUCUGAAUAAUUGUAAUCAAAUUCCAUUGCUCCUAAGCUAAGGUCAGAAUUUGUAGCAUAUAAGGGAAGGUUAGCAGAUACUUACCAAUUAUCCAAAGCUGGAUAUUAAGGUCUUUAACAUUAAUAUCUUUUUGUAUGUGUAGCAUCUGCUUGGAAAAGGUUUCAACUUUAUUUUUUAUUUGUUGGAUUGAUCAAUUGAUGUAUUUUAUGAAAGUUGAUCUGCAAGAUGUUAAGAUGAUUUCUUUGUUUAUGUAUACUGUUUAAUUAUAUCAAUGGAAAUUGGUGCUGCCAUUGUGGCAGUAGA